CUGAGAGCCAUGGAAAGGUAGAGAGAGGUUUCCACCAUUAAUAGAAAUCUUGGAUUAUCAGUCUUUGGAAACAGCUUGCAUAAAAAGAAUGAAGGGUUGUGUGUAUCUCCAGAAGGUGCCCCCACAACAUCCUGCUGGCUCCCUUUGGUGAGUGUAAAACGGCAUGCAGCAGGGAGCUAUACAGAGAAAGUAUAGUAAAUUGAGAGGAGUAAGCAUGCCGGUAUGGAUUACAAGGGAAGCAUGCAAAAACUGUAGGACCCAUGUAAGAAUUGAGUAAAACCCAUUUUUCCCUCAACUACACAACAGAAGAAAAAUGAGGCAAUAAUAUUCUGCCAGUAAUGGAAAAAUGAAAUGUCUGUGUAGAUCUACGGAUCUUGAAAAACCUUACAUUUGGAGAAGCAUCUUCACUCAGGAUUCUCAUGCUACAGCUUCAGUAGAAAACACAUCUAAAGGUCAGCCAAUUAGAUAAAAACAUGUAUUCUUUAGGUAGUAUCCUCUGGCUUUCACACAUUGGAACCUGAUGUGAAGCUGAUGAGUUUAGCUCCUGUAAAGCAGAGCUCUGUCAAGAAAUGUCAUAGGUCCAGAUCCUUUUCCUCUCUUGUGUUUUGGGCAACUCAUUCUUCACUGGACUUCUGUUCUCAUGCUAGUGAUAGAAUAGCUACUGCUGUAAUGUACGUACUGGUCUACUCACCUAAACCUCUCUCAUAUACAUCAUACCAUGAAAUAUUGCUUCUAUCAUUCACUUCACUUAACUCAUCUCCUUCCCCUCUCUUCCACAAUUCUCUCCCUCUGAACACCAAUUCCCUUUAAUAUAAGAGGAUACAGGAGAGUUAAGCAGGCAAAUAUGUUAUCUCAAACUUCUGUUGCUCCAAGAAGCUCUUCAAACCUCCUGAAAGUAAAACAGAUUGUGCGUAAGGAGCUGGCUGCAGAUUCUGUACAGGAACUCAGCCACAAUCCUGAACUUUGGCACCUAGAAGGAUGUGGGGGCUGUCUCCAUGCAUUCUAUACACAGGUCAGCAAGUCUGCUGUGAAAAUAUUAAGAAAAUCUCAAGGCAUUUAAAGAUUAAAUGCUGUACUAAAUUCUUCUGUGGAUUUUCAAGAGACUGGAUGGUUUUCAAGUGCUUGAAUUCUGGGUUUUUUUUUGAUGCUGAGGAAGGUGAGCUUCAUGACACAGUUUGUAAUCCUGUUUCUUCUGUCCCUACCCCUUUCUCAGCUGUGUAUUAGGAUAAGAACCAGUGUGCCUGGUCUGUUUGCAUGUCCAGGCUUGAGGAAGGAGGCAGAGUGGUUCCUGAUCUUGAGGGUCCAGACUGACCAUCAUCAAUGGGAUAUGGCCUGAUCCUGUCCCAGAGACCAGCACUGCAGAGUGUAAUGUAGCAUGCAACCUUGUAAGAGUGAGUUGCUGACUGCAGACUAUUUUUAAAAAAUAAUAAUAAUAAUAAUAAAAAUUAGGAUCCAUUUACUCCCUUUUUCUAAUUAAAAAAAAAGAAAAGAAAAGAAAAUACUUAUACAACUGGUCUUAAAAUCCUAGAGUUGGGGGUUGGUGAGGGAGGAGUUUACUGCUCAUUUUGUCUCAUAAGUUUGCAGAAAGAACAAAAGCUGUGUUUCAAUGUGUGCAUGAAGCUGGAGGUAUUGGGGCUCAAUGUGUUUGACUUGAGUGAUUGAAACUUGUGGUGAGAGUUUGAGGAUAGGCAAGGUACUCUGUCACUCUUCCUGAUGCCUUUUGACCCCAAUUUGCUUGCAAGUUAAGCUCUGACCUAACCACCGGAAACAAUUAGCUUGCUUUUCUUGUGCAGCAGCUCAGCAUAUGCAGCUCUAAUCAGAGAUUGAGGAGCAGACCUCUGUCAGGCAAGCAGACUCCAAGUGAUUGCUGAGCAACAAUAGUACUGGAGUUCAGAGUUAAAUGAAAAUUUAAAAUAGCCCACAUGGAAAAAAAAAAUUGUAGUUAAAAUCCUCUUCAGAGAUUUAUAUAUAUAUAUAUUUCUUUCUUUCUCUCUCUCUUUCUUUCUUUUUUGAAUUAAGGAAGAGAGUUAGAAAAGAUUUAAACAGAAACUUUCUGCUGCAACGAAUGGAUGCCAGAAAAUGGAAGGCAAUCAGAAUAGACCUUUAUUUUCAGACAGUGUCUGGGUACGAAGCAUGAGAUGUGCUAAAUAUUUUUUCAGUUAACAGUAAAACUCAGUCAUGAACCAUGUAACAGAGUCUUGAGAGGUAUUAUGUUCAACAAGGACAGAACAUGUGAGAGUUCCUAGAAUAGAUUGCAAAUGGUUUGAUGAGGCAAACCAUGUUUUUAUUUCAUGCUCUCUCCUGAUGACCCUCAUGAAGAAUCAGGUGGUGAUAAAGCUUCACCACAAAAAAGAGAUGGCCACAAGAGAAGCCAAAUGGCUAGAAAGAGAAUUAUUUGUCAGGCGGAUGUUUUGCAACCCAUACAAGAGCUUAUGCAUGAUAUGCUCAAGUUGUCAUUUUAUGUGGUUUGAGAGAGCAACCUUGAGUAUACAUCUAUGGAGCACUGGAGUAGUAACUGCUCUGUUACAGUCUUUAUGUAUGCAGCGGGUAGUCAUGAAAUUAAUGUUUCGUUGCUCAGAAAAGGUUGGGCACUGCUCUUCUAGAAAAUUCAGUUCUACGUGAAGAUACCAGAAGAACGUAAAAAAACCAUUUGCACCCAAAAAAAAAGGGGCAUUUUGGUUGUGAAAAAUCAAAUAAACCAAGACAGACCUUUGCACUUACAAGAGUGAUCAUGAUUUUUACAAGCUCCACCAUUCUGUGGGAGUUUGAUUUUGGCAAAGUGUACUCAGUAUAAGUAUUAAAAUGAGAGAAGAGCUGUUAUCUCCCUGGGACUUGUUAGACAGUGCUGCAGCAGAUGAUUAGUGGGCUAUCCGAUCAGAUUGUAUUUCGUUCAGUUAGAUGCAGGUGCACAAAGCCAGCAACAUAAGGCAUUUGAAAAUGACCAUUGGCAGUAAAAGGAAAAAAUUAGUAUAGUGGUGAGCAUAUCCUUUGUAACAGAAUGUGGGGGUACAUAAAAUCUGUAAGAGUUGGGUUUUGCAGUUCCAGGAAAAAAGUAAUGUAAUGAUCUGAAGAUGUUUGGCUUCUCCAAGCAAUAUCCUCUCCUGGGUGCAAGAAGCAAAUAAAUGAGAGUAUGAAGUUGUUCUGAAGGGAUGCAAGAGCUCUUGAUAAAUUAAUUAGAGGGCAUCUUCUGCUAUUUCCUUAGGAAAGGCCACCUCUGAAGGCAGAGGCUGAGGAGGAGCAGAGUGGACUCACUGCUAUGAUGUGUGCAGGACUCAGAAGUAAGAGCAGAGCAGUUCCUAUCAGAGCCCUACCGUGUGCUGGCAGCCGUCUGCACACAGUGCAGACCCUGUCAGCUCCCAGCCACACGUGAAGCCUCAGAUGCUAUUUUAAAUAUGUUCACAUGUACCUCGCUUGUAGGAAACAUAGGUUCAUUUGUUUAUCGCAAGCCGGGAGUGUGAAAGUGCUUGCAAAAAGCACUCUGCCAUCUCACCCACACGGUGCCCUCACUUUUCUGGGUGAGGGCCUUAGCAAUGUUGCUUCCUUCCCUCGAGCUGCUAUGUUGCCAUCACCUCCUCCAUUAGCAUUACUCCUGGCAUGGUCCCGACUGCUAGCACAACACCCAGCCCUGUAAUCUCUGCAGACACCAAGCAGGGCUUCAGCAGAGACCCCUCACAGCUCCUAAAGUGUCCAGAGCUGCCUGCCUGGGCCUCAACAAAAGGCUUCGCUAAAUAAUAAUAAAUAAAUGCUAAAAUAAGGAACUUCUGCCCAAAGUACAUCUCUGCUUCAGCACCCCGACUGUGAAAAGCUGUCUAAUGGGGAUGGCUACCAUCAUAAAGAGGUUCUUAUUACCAUGAACUGGGACAAGUCAGAUUGUUCACACCUCUUGAAGACAACCACAAGUGAAGGCUUUGAAAAACUAAUCACUAAAUCAUAGUGAUUCAAUGAUUCUAAGCUAUGGAUGCUACCUGAGAAGACCUAAAUCUACUUCUCCUGACUACCAAGCUAAGGGUAGUCACCUGUGGACAAGGGAGAGGCUUUGUGAGACUGGCACACCAACUGACUUCCAAAUUCUCUGAUGUACCUUUUCUUCUUGGCAUGGGAAAAUUAAAAUAUUCAUCAAACCAAAGACUGGGGACUAAUUGCUAGGCACUUAUCUGGGAAAUGGAAUACCUGUAUUGUCAUGAACAGUUAAGCUUUUAGUUCAAAGUGAGAAGUAUUAAUAGUGGUAGCCACAUCUCAAUCUCCUCUAAGGAUUCCCUUAAGAAGUAGGUGCCUUUAGGCAACAGAUUUUAAAAACUGCUGCUCCUGCAUUUUUGGUCACUUGCUGCUUCGUUUUGGUUUUGGUCAGGUUCAUAGUCCUUUGCUUGCUUUUCUUUAUUUUUGGCUGAGGACGCAUGAAACAAGGAGAAAAAGUAUUUGGGGUUGUCCAGACUUUCUAAAAAUUGGGGAAAAAAAAAAAAAACAACAACUUGGUUUGGAUCAGACAAAGGAAAGUGCUUUUGUUCUGCUUACUGAAACAGCUGGGGGAAAUUGUUCACCCAAACCUAAUGUCAGCCCAUUUCGGGGGGGGGGGGUGAGAAUGGGAUUUAGUCACAUUCAAUAACUUAAAGCUGCUGUGACUGUAAGAACCUUAGCUAGUGGUGACUUGGCAUGUGGUGCCAAAUAUAUUUUAGGAGCUGGGCCUGCCCUGAUGGCUUGUUUGUGUAGCAAAGUUCAUUGAGACAGAGGUCAGAGGCAAAUCUCACUGGUACUUACAUUUAGGUUUGUUUGCUGCUUUUGAUCGCUUCCUUGUCCAGCUCUGAUCCUGAAGAGGUCUGGCUAUGCAUUGCCAGAAGAGCCAAGUUGUAGCUCUGGUGUAGCUUUCUGCUUCUGUACGCGUGGUGCAGCAUCACGCCCCGCUGCAGACACCGAACCCUCACAGGAAGUCAGUAGGACAAAUUAAUGCUUGCUGCAACCCAGAUCUGUGCACUCAACACAUCUGUUAGGCCUGGUAGCACUAAGCGAAGGAUUGGCUCAGCCUUUGUGCUGUGCAGCAUUCCCCAGCAGUCGUUUCGCUGUGGCUUUUUUUUUUCUUCUUCUUCUUCUUUUUUUUUUUUCUUUUUAAGACAAAUGGGGUUACCAAAAGGGCAUCUGAGGAGAGGCUUUGUCAGAGCACCAUGGUGCUGCAGAUGGGAUCCAACACCCUCUUUGAGCCCUGGCUCUGAGGACAGGAUGCUCGGCUGUUAUGCUGUCAGGCGGUUCAUGUUUAAAAAUCACUUAUUUUCUGUUUUCAUUGCUGCACCUCUGAAGAAAUGCAUUCUGUUUUAUCUCAACAGAAAUAGAUCUGACUACUUUGCUUGCAAAAACUGCCUGUAAUGUAGCUGAAGGGUUUACUUGCCUUUCUUCAUUUCCAAAAUGAAGUAAAAAAAAAAAAAUUAAUUGCUCAUCUGCUGCUUUGACAUCAAGGAAAGGUAACCCAUAGAAAUCAUUCUGAUAUAGCUUAAAAAUGAGCUGGAUGCCUGUGAGGGAGCACAGAAGGCUAAAAGCAAAAUAAUCUUGCUUUCUGCCAUCCUGUUAUUGCUGCGUUACUGCAGUGCAGCGUGCUAGUUAUGUUCUGAGUGUCUGAAACUUGUUUCUUGCUCCCAAAGUGAUGAGCAGGUUGGCACUAAUAGACAAGGAACUUGGUACCCACCAUCUAAAGAGCCUUCACCAACUUUAAUGUCUCAUGAGCUAGGAAAAGUAAUUUAAAAAAUUAUAGGGAUUGGGGACAUACUCAAAUGCCACACACAGUCCCAAAAAGCAAAAGCUUUUAACAAAUCCCUGCCCAAUUCUUUUAAAAGAAGAACAGAAAACCAGAGCAUAGCCCAGUAAAAGAACGUGGUCAAGUAAGUAGGUGCAUUUAGAUUACUAGAUUCUUUGAGCAAAUCUAUAGAGGAGAAAGUAGCAGACUGGCAUGAAGCAGAGAGGUCAGGUUGCUCUAGGUGCGUAUCCCAGAGAUGAAAAACAUCAUGUUGUUCAAAAUAGUCUUUUGUAGGUCUGUAAAAGCUUUUCUUCUGCUUUGUGAACUCCCAGGGGAGCAUGUGGCAAACCCGGGAACCUCCAAGCCCUCUGCUAAACAUGCACAUCUACUGAACUGUGUAUGUGAUUCAUGCACAUCAGCAUGCAGUCUCUCCGGUGCAUCACUGCCUAUCUUGAUCAGGAGAGCACUUAGGCAUUGAAUUUUCUGCUACUGGAGAAAGCUUGUAAGACCAGACCGGUCUUCUACCAUAAUUCACUCAUACUUGUCUGAAUAGGGCUACAAAGACGGAGAAGGGCCUAGAGAGGAAGAGGGGGGUGGCUGAGGUCUCCUGGUUGGCUCAGCGCAGAGCAGAGGAGCUGAGGGGAGGCCUCACGGCGGCUGCAGCUCCUCACAGGGAGCGGAGGGGCAGCGCUGAGCCCUGCUCUGUGUGACAGCGACAGGGCCCGAGGGAACGGCAUGGAGCUGUGUCAGGGGAGGGGCAGCUGGGGGUCAGGGACAGGGCCUGCACCUGAAGGUGGAGGGCAGUGGUCACGGCCCCGAGCUGCCAGAGUUCAAGGAGCAUCUGGACAACACUCUCAGACAUAUGGUCCAAUCUUUUGAUGGUCCUUUAUAGAGCCAGGAGUUGGACUCGAUGCUCCUUAUGGGUCCCUUCCCACUUGGGAUAUUCCAUGAUUCUAUUGCAGGAAAUUCUAUUGCUGGUCUGACUUACUCUCACCCGCAGUGGAUAGAAAUACUACAUUCAAACACAGAAUUGCUUCUUUAGUAUACCAAUGUAUGAAAAAAAUCACAGCUAUAAACGUAGAUGAGAGAAUGACUUCUCACUGGAUCUCCAUAGGUCCCUGUUCCAAGGCCUGUGGUUUAUGUCUAUUCAUUCAGAGAUGCCUACUGGCAAACUCAGGGCUAUUUUGACAGAGCAGUAACUGAAGAUGCUGAAAAAAAAAUUUAGAUGCAGAGAAAUCUCCUCUUUAACCACAACCAGUGGAAAGAUACAAACUCUCUGCCAUGCCUCUGGGCUGAUCCUGGUGCCUGCAGCCUCUUUUAGUGGCAGGGCAGUUUAAAAGAAGUAACAUCCAGGUACUCUGUUAUAGCUCUGCAGGCAUUAAGGCAGAGGAACCUGCAUAUGGGAGCGCUGCCUGCUGCUAGAGAAAGGCCAGGCAUAAAUUGAGGGCCACAAACACGAUCCAAGGGAUGGAACACGUCCCUGUGAGGACAGGCUGGGAGAGCUGGGGCUGUUCAACCAGGGGAAGAGAAGACUCUGGUGAGAGCUGAGAGCGGCCUUUUAGUGUCUAAAAGGGAAAGGGACUGUCUCUCUAGCAGGGUCUGUUGGGAUAGGACAAGGGGAAAUGGUUUCAAACUAAAAGAGGGGAGAUUUUGAUUGGAUAGAAAGAUAGAUAGUAUACCUAUAUAUAUAUAUAUGUAUAUAAAUAUAUAUAUAAAAGGAAAUGUUUUUUACAGUAAGGGUAAUGAGGCACUGGCACAGAUCGCCCAAAGAGGUGCUGGA
ensembl:lncRNA